GAUAUUGGUCAAUUGGGGGAACCCUGAACCAGCGACACCGCGUGAGGGAAGAAGGUUUUCGGAUAAUACACCUCUGUUGUCGGGGAAGAUAAUGACGGUACCCGAUGAGGACGCCACGGCUAACUUCGUUCCAUCAGCCGCGGUAAUACGAAGGGGGCGAGCGUUAUCCGGAAUUAUUGGGCGUAAAGGGUGCGUAGGCGGCCUUUUAAGUCAGAUGUGAAAGGCUACGGCUUAACCGUAGUUAGCAUUUGAAACUAAAAGGCUUGAGUGCAGGAGAGGAGAGUGGAAUUCCCAGUGUAGCGGUGAAAUGCGUAGAUAUUAGGAGGAACACCAGUGGCGAAGGCGACUCUCUGGACUGCAACUGACGCUGAGGCACGAAAGCGUGGGGAGCGAACA
rnacentral:rRNA from 1 species